GAAAGAGAUAAAGAGAAGAAGAGAGUAGAUGAGUUAUCCGAGAUAUAUAAAUCUAGAGUCUCAUUUUUUUAGUCCUAGAAGUCGAUUUUUUCUCUCUAGAAUCACUACCUCCUCUAGAAUUCAAGUCAUUCUUGAUCACAUCUGAGUACAUAUGUUUAGAAUCAAAUGACACCCUUCUGGUACCCAUUGCAUCAAACUCAACUCCUAACCCAAAACCUCAAUUUAUGAGUAUUUUAGAAAAAUAAAUAAGAAAAAUUCUCAACAAACAAGGAUUUGUGAAUAGAUUUGUAAAUUAUCUUCUUAAAAUGAGAAGGAUGAAACUAACUAAGAAUGGGGUCAUGAACUACUUUCUGAAGAUUGACAAUAAAAUACUAAAAUUUAUCAAUAAAG
rnacentral:lncRNA from 1 species